AUGGAAGCAGAACUCACAGCAUUAGACACUGCCACUGUUGAAGCAGAGUGGCUUCGUGAGCUCUUGAUGGACUUACCUAUGGUUGAAAAACCAAUACCCCCUAUCCUGAUGAACUGUGAUAAUCAAACUGUGAUCGUCAAGAUAAAUAGUUCUAAGGACAAUAUGAAGUCCUCAAGGCAUGUGAAGAGGAGACUAAAAUCUGUAAUAAAAUUGAGGAACUCUGGAGUUAUUACGUUGGGUUAUAUCCAAACGUCGAAAAACUUGGCAGAUCCCUUCACAAAGGGUCUAUCACGUAAUGUGAUAGAUAAUGCAUCGAUGGAGAUGGGUUUGAGACCCACCGCAUGA
rnacentral:rRNA from 1 species